rnacentral:rRNA from 1 species
ACGAACGCUGGCGGCAUGCCUAACACAUGCCAGUCGAACGAGACCUUCGGGCCUAGUGGCGCACGGGUGCGUAACGCGUGGGAACCUGCCCUUAGGUUCGGAAUAACUCCCCGAAAGGGGUGCGAAUACCGGAUAAUGUCUUCGGACCAAAGAUUUAUCGCCUUUGGAUGGGCCCGCGUUGGAUUAGCUAGUUGGUAGGGUAAAAGCCUACCAAGGCGACGAUCCAUAGCUGGUCUGAGAGGAUGAUCAGCCACACUGGGACUGAGACACGGCCCAGACUCCUACGGGAGGCAGCAGUGGGGAAUAUUGGACAAUGGGCGAAAGCCUGAUCCAGCAAUGCCGCGUGAGUGAUGAAGGCCUUAGGGUUGUAAAGCUCUUUUACCCGGGAUGAUGAUGACAGUACCGGGAGAAUAAGCUCCGGCUAACUCCGUG